rnacentral:rRNA from 1 species
UACGGGGGGAGCAAGCGCUGUUCGGAUUUACUGGGCGUAAAGGGCGCGUAGGCGGCGUGACAAGUCACUUGUGAAAUCUCCGGGCUUAACCCGGAGCGGCCAAGUGAUACUGUCGUGCUAGAGUGCGGAAGGGGCUACUGGAAUUCUCGGUGUAGCGGUGAAAUGCGUAGAUAUCGAGAGGAACACCUGCGGCGAAGGCGGGUAGCUGGGCCGACACUGACGCUGAGGUGCGAAAGCGUGGGGAGCAAACAGG